rnacentral:lncRNA from 1 species
CAGCAAUGAGCCCCUAGGAAUGUACACCGGAUUCUGCAACGACUCCUCGAAGUGGACAGCUUCUGGAACUCCCGAGAAUUCGCCAGGGUCAGCGACCAUGAGCACCGUGUAUCCCUCUGCUCCGCUGAGUUCAUCCAAGCAUGCUUUGGUCCUUGUCAGGCUGCAACUGUUUAUCCACGUACAAAAAGCACAACAUCAGCUUACGGUCCCAUCCAGAGGUGUAUCCAUUGGUCACCAAUUUGUGGAGUUAAUCUCAGCAAAGCACAGGAACAGAAUUCAAUGGCCGAGACUCCGAUUUUCGUUACCACGUCGAGCGCAAUCUAGCAGUGAGCAACAGUAGCAGCAGCGGCAGCAGUCCUUUCGCCAUCUUUCCUCCUGGGUGGGUACAUGAACUAAGUGAGAAAAACUGGGAAAAUUUCAGCGGGACCAGAGGCAGAAACGAAGCCAAAAUCCAGGAUAGGAAAAGUUCUGAGGGUAUAUAAAUAAACAAAUUACAAUUAGAAGACUGAAGUGAUCAUUGGAAGGCUAAAAAUAACAAUUAACGGGGAUUAAUUUAGAGGCGGAACUUGUCUGCACGACUCUGUCGAACAACGAAAAAUCACGCGAAGUGUCACCAAAACUUAUACAUGAAGUAGACUGCUUUAAAUGCUCGUGUUUUCUGUCAAAGCAGACAACUGCGCAUGGGGGCAUCACAAGGAAAUAGAAAAGAAAAAGAGUUCAAUCGUCUCCCAGCUUGGCAUUCCAGGAUUACAAACUAAGGCAAGAGGACAAGACACGAGUUUUCACGCUGAAAACUAAUUUGGUGCAAAGGUUUUGCCAUCACUAAAUUCCGACAGAGAAAAGGUUACCUCGCUUCAGACCAACUUAGACUUCUGAGCUCCGGAAAACAAAAGGGUCCCUGCAGCACCACAAUUAAUCGAAGCAAGAAUGUAAAUUUGCAACCAACAUGAGCAGUACAUCGGUGUUCCAAAGUGUUUCCAAACACUGUGAUCCACUCCCAGCCGAUCGUAUUGACGUCUAACUGCAGCCUUGGAAGGUCCGACUUAUCCCCAUGCGCAACGCAUGGUAGCAGCUAAACUAUCCGUAUCUCCACAGCCAAUUUCC